rnacentral:lncRNA from 1 species
GUGCGAGCAUAUGAAUUCAGCAUAGAAGUUCAUAUUAAUUCAUUCAGUUCUUCAGAACUCUACACAGAGUAUUUGUCAAACAGAAAACCUUUGAUGCCAAAGACAGUUCCACUUAUUCAACCUUGUUUUGUUCAAGCUACUGUAUUGAAAUCGCCAUUGAAAUUGUCCAGGACCAAAUUUGUAUUUAAUAUCUCUUUAUAUGAAAUGGAACAUAAUAAUAGGGUCACAGAAACUCAGGAUCUUAUAAUACAUAAUAUUUCAGAACAAGAGGUUCGAUGGAUAUUUGAUCUUAGUAAUACUGGCAAACUUUGUAAAAAUGGCAUAUUCAUUUUUAGUGAACAGACUGGGAUUUUGUACCCACAUGAAAAGUGUACUGUUUCUGUAAAUUUCCGUCCAUAAAUUCAACUCUAAAUUUCCAUAUUCCCACAGUAAGGCUUCUCAAUGAUGAUGAACAAAUUCAGCCACUUUCUGUGACUUUCUCAAAAGACCAAAUCAUCGUAGGCUCUAAGCGUGGAAAUAAUAAAGAACUUACUUUCCACCUCAGUUUCAAAUCACCUAAACCUGUUUCAUU